CCAAGGUCUACACGUUUUAUUCCCACCCCCACCAGACUUACUCACGGAUAUACCACUUUCUAGCAACUCCCAACACCAUAUCGCAAAUCACCACCUCCACCAUAGGUUCGAUAACUUGGUCGGACCACGCCGACAUAUUCCUGACACUGACUAUACCAAAUAACUGCAGAAGACACACCUCUCGUUUCCCCACGGACCCACCCACAAGCAAUACUGAUGGUGCCCCUCCACGGACUGGUGAGGGCAUAUUCCUAGUGGGGCAAGUCCUGC